GACGAACGCUGGCGGCGUGCUUAACACAUGCAAGUCGAACGAUGACGAAGAGCUUGCUCUUCGGAUUAGUGGCGAACGGGUGAGUAACACGUGACUAACCUGCCCCUUUCUCUGGGAUAACGCUCCGAAAGGAGUGCUAAUACCGGAUACUCACAUCGAGGCACAUGCCUUGAUGUGGAAAGUUUUUCGGAAAGGGAUGGAGUCGCGGCCUAUCAGCUUGUUGGUGAGGUAACGGCUCACCAAGGCGACGACGGGUAGCCGGCCUGAGAGGGCGACCGGCCACACUGGGACUGAGACACGGCCCAGACUACUACGGGAGGCAGCAGUGGGGAAUAUUGCACAAUGGGCGAAAGCCUGAUGCAGCGACGCCGCGUGAGGGAUGAAGGUCUUCGGAUUGUAAACCUCUUUCAGUAGGGACGAAGCGAAAGUGACGGUACCUAAAGAAGAAGCACCGGCUAACUACGUGCCAGCCGCCGCCGUAA
rnacentral:rRNA from 1 species